rnacentral:rRNA from 1 species
AGUGGCGGACGGGUGAGUAACGCGUGGGUAACCUGCCCUGUACAGGGGGAUAACAGCUGGAAACGGCUGCUAAUACCGCAUAAGCGCACAGGACCGCAUGGUCCGGUGUGAAAAACUCCGGUGGUAUAAGAUGGACCCGCGUUGGAUUAGCUAGUUGGCAGGGUAACGGCCUACCAAGGCGACGAUCCAUAGCCGGCCUGAGAGGGUGAACGGCCACAUUGGGACUGAGACACGGCCCAGACUCCUACGGGAGGCAGCAUG